UACGAUGAAGUCAAGACUAGACCCAUCUCCAAAAUUGACAGAGUGGUUACCAAUGCAGCCAUAAAGACAAGCAUUGAUGAUGAACUAGCCAAACCCCCAGACAAGCUGAAAGUGACCUGGCCGGAGGGCAACCCCUGGACCCAGAAUGAUGUCCAGACAGCAGGCACUCCACUAGUUACAGAGAUGGGCUCCCUGCACCUUACACAGGCCUCUCCAUGUGGAAAUUCUCAACAAGAAAGGAGAGCCGGUAUGUAGGAUAUCAUCAGCCACUCAAAACGCAGCACGGAAAGCACUUUCAAUCGAACUUAAAGUUGUUUGGCAUUCACCUAAUGGUGAUGUGGAGACCAACUUUCACAUUGCAGCACAUUCAGCCAAGUGGGCAUUCUGGUUCAGAGCCAUGGGGAACCUAAACAAGUUGGGGAAGUAUACCCUGCAACUGAACACGGUACUCAACGAGAGCAACGCUACUGUCUGGGCUGGGAAACAGCUGCCCAACCACACACUGGACUUCUCCAUUACUGGUAACCAAUGUUCCCCGUAAGCUGUGUGCUCGGCCUCGCAGCUCCUGAAGCAGUCCCGUGCAGAGGAAUUACCAGUCUCUGCAGAGAUGCAUGAGAUUCAACUUCACAAAAAUGUAUCUUUCCUGGCUUUAAACAGAUUGAAUCAA